CAGCCGCCGCGGGAAUACGUAGGUGGCAAGCGUUGUCCGGAAUUAUUGGGCGUAAAGGGUGCGUAGGCGGUUUCGCAAGUCUUGUGUGAAAUCUAUGGGCUCAACCCAUAGUCUGCACAGGAAACUGCGAGGCUUGAGGAUGGGAGAGGUGAGUGGAAUUUCCGGUGUAGCGGUGAAAUGCGUAGAUAUCGGAAGGAACACCUGUGGCGAAAGCGGCUCACUGGACCAUUUCUGACGCUGAUGCACGAAAGCUAGGGGAGCAAACAGGAUUAGAUACCCCUGUAGUCCCUGUCUCUUAUAA
rnacentral:rRNA from 1 species